GACGAACGCUGGCGGCGUGCCUAACACAUGCAAGUCGAACGAAGCUUGAAGAUUGAUUCUUCGGAUGAAAUCUGAUAUGACUGAGUGGCGGACGGGUGAGUAACGCGUGAGCAACCUGCCCUUCGGAGGGGGAUAGUGUCUGGAAACGGACAGUAAUACCGCAUAACGUAUUUUACCGUCAUGAUAGAAAUACCAAAACUGACGGUGCCGAAGGAUGGGCUCGCGUUGGACUAGCUAGUAGGCGGGGUAAUGGCCCACCUAGGCGACGAUCAGUAGCCGGACUGAGAGGUUGACCGGCCACAUUGGGACUGAGACACGGCCCAG
rnacentral:rRNA from 1 species